rnacentral:rRNA from 1 species
GAUGAACGCUGGCGGCGUGCCUAAUACAUGCAAGUCGAGCGAACAGACGAGGAGCUUGCUCCUCUGAUGUUAGCGGCGGACGGGUGAGUAACACGUGGAUAACCUACCUAUAAGACUGGGAUAACUUCGGGAAACCGGAGCUAAUACCGGAUAACAUGUUGAACCGCAUGGUUCAACAGUGAAAGACGGUCUUGCUGUCUCUUAUAGAUGGAUACGCGCCGCAUUAGCUAGGUGGUAAGGUAACGGCUUACCAAGGCAACGAUGAGUAGCCGACCUGAGAGGGUGAUCGGCCACACUAGAACUGAGACACGGUCCAGACUCCUACGGGAGGCAGCAGUAGGGAAUCUUCCGCAAUGGGCGAAAGCCUGACGGAGCAACGCCGCGUGAGUGAAGAAGGUCUUCGGAUCGUAAAACUCUGUUAUUAGGGAAGAACAAAUGUGUAAGUAACUAUGCACGUCUUGACGGUACCUAAGCAGAAAGCCACGGCUAACUACGUG